GACGAACGCUGGCGGCGUGCUUAACACAUGCAAGUCGAACGAAGUGGCGAACGGGUGAGUAACGCGUAAUCAACCUGCCCUUCAGAGGGGAACACCAGUUGGAAACGACUCCUAAUACCGCAUACUGAAGGCGGGGAUUGCGUGGGAUUAGCUCGGUGGAGGGGUAACGGCCCACCAAGGCGAUGAUCAGUAAGCGGUCUGGGAGGGUGAACGGCCACAUUGGGACGUGGAAAAGGCCCAGAAUUCUACGGGAGGCAGGAGGGGGGAAUCUUCCGAAAUGGAGGAAAGUCUGACGGAGCAACGCCGGGGGAGUGAUGACGGCCUUCGGGGUGUAAAGGUAGGUUAAUCGGGACGCGGUACCGGAAGAGAAAGCAACGGCUAACUACGUGCCAGCAGCCGCGGUAAUAC
rnacentral:rRNA from 1 species